GAGGGUAUGGCCCCUCGCAAUCGGCUUGCAGGAGCGGGUUGCAAACCACCAUAAGCGGCGUUGGUCAAAAGCCUGGGUCGUGAGCGUUAUGGAAAAGGUGCCUUCGAGGCAUCAGGU
rnacentral:ncRNA from 1 species